rnacentral:lncRNA from 1 species
UGUAUGCCAAGGUCAACAAACCAAGGGCAGCUGGUACCACGUCUCCUCCUGCUCCCGUUGCCCCAAAUGACAGCUGUGUGGACAGGAUCCAGCUCUUAAGGAGAGAGUACCAGCAGGCACGGAGAGAAGGUAUGGUGCCACCCUAUGAAGAACUGGACCCACGGCGAAGAGGACAUGACAACGACACACACAUGAUGCCAGGCAGAGGGGUGGAUCCUCGGAUGGCGCCGCGUUAUGAAGAGGUGGAGCGUCAGUACGCUUCCUUGCCGAGACGCGGCCCUCUGGACCCAGCUGAUUACCCCAUGCAGCCCUGGCCUGGCCACUACCCAGCACCAACCCAGGCCCCACAGGGAUACCCUCACUCCCCCUCCUACCCUAACCCCAAAGCCCCGGCGGCUCCAUCGUACUCUGGCUACACACCCGGCCAGCCGUACCCACGGCCGGCGGACCCCCGGGGCGUCGAGCCCGGCUACUACCUGCACCCAGGGUCAGUUAGAGCACAGAGUAGUCAUGUUCUUCUGUGGUCAUGUCCCUAAAUGUGUUAGAAAGCACAGCACAGACCAUAUUAGCUGUUACAUCUGCUUCGAGCGUGUUGACCAGGCUGGUUUUCUGCUCUCAGUUCGCAGCAGAGAGGCCCUUUGCGGCAGGACGUGCCCCCGUCUCCCACCCCUCCCCUUCGUGGAUUACGGUACGACACUAUGACACGUGGGACUGGAGGCUACAGGUAGACGGCGUAUCUGGACGCAGGCCAUCUCAGGUAACAGCAACAUUCACAACUCUCAUAAUGUGAUCACACGACUAAAAGAACGUUUUUGAGCUUGAUGCUAUGUUUCUUUCACUCUUUGAUGAAAGCCGUGUGGAAUUGACUUUUAAAAUAGCUUUUGAUUUUCAGAUCGAAACAUGAGAAAAUGUUUGACUGUUUACAGGCAGCUGCUGGAUUCCAGUCCAGACCAAUAUGGCUGAACUGUGGGUGGAGGAAGACAGCUACGACCAAACCAAGACAGAGGAAUGCCCCGACUGCAGCUGUGAAGACAAAAACAAGCCAAGGGUGGAGCUCCUCUACGUUCGGUACUCCAACGUCACCUUGUGCAAAAAAGAUUUCAGCUCCCAAACAGUGUCUGCACUGUCUGAAGUGCAUUGUGAUGAGCUGAAGGACGGUAAAGGAUUCUGGCCGUGACAGAUGAGUUUGUCCCUUUUGGAAUCGACCAUGCACCCAAAACUAUCUGGAUUCAUUUAAAUAAAGCCACUAAAGAUUAAAGCCA